ensembl:rRNA 5S_rRNA 5S ribosomal RNA
GCCUAUGGCCAUACCACCCUGAAAGCGCCCCAUCUCGUCUGAUCUCGGAAGGUAAGCAGGGGAGGGCCUGGUUAGUACCUGGAUGGGAGACCGCCUGGGAAUACCAGGUGUUGUAGGGU